rnacentral:rRNA from 1 species
GACCCGAAAGAUGGUGAACUAUGCCUGAAUAGGGUGAAGCCAGAGGAAACUCUGGUGGAAGCUCGUAGCGGUUCUGACGUGCAAAUCGAUCGUCAAAUUUGGGUAUAGGGGCGAAAGACUAAUCGAACCAUCUAGUAGCUGGUUCCCUCCGAAGUUUCCCUCAGGAUAGUUGGAGCCUGUGUUAUGUGUGUAGUUUUAUCAGGUAAAGCGAAUGAUUAGAGGUAUUGGGGUUGAAAUGACCUCAACCUAUUCUCAAACUUUAAAUGGGUAAGAUGUGCAGCUUACUUGAGUGAAGUUGUACUCCAAUCUUUCUUUUGAAUACAGAGGCUCUUAGUGGGCCAUUUUUGGUAAGCAGAACUGGCGAUGCGGGAUGAACCGAACGCUGGGUUAAGGUGCCCAAGUCAACGCUCAUGAGAUCCCAGGAAAGGUGUUGGUUGAUACAGACAGCAGGACGGUGGCCAUGGAAGUCGGAAUCCGCUAAGGAGUGUGUAACAACUCACCUGCCGAAUCAACUAGCCCUGAAAAUGGAUGGCGCUCAAGCGUUGCACCUAUCCCCGGCCGCCGUGUGGAGAUAACCAGUGCUGGUGACACGGCGUGUAGGAGGGCGCAGGGCUAUACUGUUUCUUUUUUCAUAAGCUGUACAGGCUGAAGCGUGAGCUCAGCUGAAGCUGGCCCUGGUGCAGAUCUUGGUGGUAGUAGCAAUUAUUCAAAUGAGAAGGUAUUACUUUGAAGGCCGAAGUGGAGAAGGGUUCCACGUGAACAGCAUUUGGACGUGGGUGAGUCGGUUCUAAGAGAUGGGCGAAAGCCUGGUUAGUAAGGGUGCAGAUGUGUUCUCCUCUCUCAACAAGGGGAAAUACGUCCGAUUGGUUUCUCACAAGGGAGCCAGCUUGUGGCACCUUCUCUCGAAAGGGCAUCGGGUUAAUAUUCCCGAACCAGACACUUGGAUGCUGCGUGGUCUCUCUGCUGUCACUGUCUUGCGGCGGUGGUGGUAGUAGCCAUGUGGGGCACGGCAACGUAUAGAUAUAUAAAGUGUUGCUCGGCGACGCUUGCGAUAGCCCUGGGAAGAGUUGUCUUUUCUUCUUAACCGUACCAACCGUGUGCACAGCCCUGGAAGCAGUUUACCUUGAGAGAGGGCUGGAGGUCGGGUAAAGCGCUGCACUUAUUGUAGCGUCCAGUGCGCUGUCGAGAGCCCUUGAAAAGCUGAGCUAGGACUGGACCUUGUUAGUCUCGUGUCUGGCCGUACCCAUCACCGCAUCAGGUCUCCAAGG